UCGGGAAUUUUGGGCAAUGGGCGAAAGCCUGACCCAGCAACGCCGCGUGAAGGAUGAAGUAUUUCGGUAUGUAAACUUCGAAAGAAUAGGAAGAAUAAAUGACGGUACUAUUUAUAAGGUCCGGCUAACUACGUGCCAGCAGCCGCGGUAAUACGUAGGGACCAAGCGUUGUUCGGAUUUACUGGGCGUAAAGGGCGCGUAGGCGGCAAUUCAAGUCAUCUGUGAAAUCUCCGGGCUUAACUCGGAACGGUCAGAUGAUACUGCUUUGCUAGAGUGCAGAAGGGGCAAUCGGAAUUCUUGGUGUAGCGGUGAAAUGCGUAGAUAUCAAGAGGAACACCUGAGGUGAAGACGGGUUGCUGGGCUGACACUGACGCUGAGGCGCGAAAGCGUGGGGAGCAAACAGGAUUAGAUACCCCGGUAGUCCCUGAGCGGGCUGGCAAGGCGCAU
rnacentral:rRNA from 1 species